rnacentral:rRNA from 1 species
AUUGAACGCUAGCGGGAUGCCUUACACAUGCAAGUCGAACGGAGUGGCGAAAGGGUGAGUAAUGUAUCGGAACGUGCCCAGUAGCGGGGGACAACUACGCGAAAGCGUAGCCAAUACCGCAUACUAUUGGAGCGGCCGAUAGCGGAUUAGCUCGUUGGUGGGGUAACGGCGCACCCAGGCGACGAUCCGUAGCUGGUUUGAGGGGACGACCAGCCACACUGGGACUGAGACACGGCCCAGACUCCUACGGGAGGCAGCAGUGGGGAAUUUUGGGCAAUGGGGGAAACCCUGAUCCAGCCAUCCCGCGUGUGCGAAGAAGGCCUUCGGGUUGUAAAGCACUUUUGGCAGGAAAGCGGUACCUGCAGAAUAAGCACCGGCUAACUACGUGCCAGCCGCCGCGGUAAUUC